ensembl:lncRNA
GGUGGUGGUGGUGGUGGUUGUAGAGGUGGUGGAGGUGGUGGUGGUGGUGUUGUGGAGGUGGUUGAGGUGGUGGUGGUGGAGGUAGUGGUGGUUGUAGUGGUGGUGGUGGAGGAGAGGUAGUGGUGGAGAAGUAGUGGUGGAGGUAGUGGUGGAGGUGGUGGUGGUGUUGGUGGUGGUUGUAGAGGUAGUGGUGGAGGUGGUGGUGGUUGUGGAGGUGGUGGAGGUGGUGGUGGAGGUGGUGGUGGUUGUAGAGGUAGUGGUGGAGUUGGUGGAGGUAGUGGUGGUGGAGGUAGUGGUAUUGUAGAGGUGGUGGAUCUGGUGGUGGAUCUGGUGGUGGUUGUAGAUGUGGUGGUUGUGGAGGUAGUGGUGGAGGUAGUGGUGGUUGUGGAGGUAGUGGUGGAGGUGGAGGUUGUUGUGGAGGUGGUGGUGGUUGUGGAGGUGGUGGAGGUGGUGGUG